UCCUAUGAGAGCUACUAGAAGCUAAGGUU
rnacentral:piRNA from 1 species